UUGCCAGCCGCCGCGGUAAUAACCGCGCCCCGAGUGGUGGCCACUUUUAUUGGGCCUAAAGCGUCCGUAGCCGGUCUGGAAAGUCUACGGUAAAAGCCCACUGCAAACAGUGGAAUUGCCGUAGAUACUGCCAGACUAGGGACCGGGAGAGGUCUGGGGUACGGCCAGGGUAGGGGUUAAAUCCGUUAAUCCUGGCAGGACCACCUGUGGCGAAGGCGCCAGACUGGAACGGCUCCGACGGUGAGGGACGGAAGCUGGGGGAGCGAUCGGGAUUAGAUACCCCGGUAGUCC
rnacentral:rRNA from 1 species